rnacentral:rRNA from 1 species
ACUCCUACGGGAGGCAGCAGUGGGGAAUUUUGGACAAUGGGCGAAAGCCUGAUCCAGCAAUGCCGCGUGAGUGAAGAAGGCCUUCGGGUUGUAAAGCUCUUUUGUCAGGGAAGAAACGGUGAGAGCUAAUAUCUUUUGCUAAUGACGGUACCUGAAGAAUAAGCACCGGCUAACUACGUGCCAGCAGCCGCGGUAAUACGUAGGGUGCAAGCGUUAAUCGGAAAUACUGGGCGUAAAGCGAGCGCAGGCGGUUUUGUAAGUCUGAUGUGAAAUCCCCGGGCUCAACCUGGGAAUUGCAUUGGAGACUGCAAGGCUAGAAUCUGGCAGAGGGGGGUAGAAUUCCACGUGUAGCAGUGAAAUGCGUAGAUAUGUGGAGGAACACCGAUGGCGAAGGCAGCCCCCUGGGUCAAGAUUGACGCUCAUGCACGAAAGCGUGGGGAGCAAACAGGAUUAGAUACCCUGGUAGUCCACGCCCUAAACGAUGCCUACUAGUUGUCGGGUCUUAAUUGACUUGGUAACGCAGCUAACGCGUGAAGUAGACCGCCUGGGGAGUACGGUCGCAAGAUUAAAACUCAAAGGAAUUGACGGGGACCCCCACAAGCGGUGGAGCAUGUGG